AUUGAACGCUGGCGGCAUGCCUUACACAUGCAAGUCGAACGGUAACGGGCCUUCGGGUGCCGACGAGUGGCGAACGGGUGAGUAAUACAUCGGAACGUGCCCGAUCGUGGGGGAUGACGAGGCGAAAGCUUUGCUAAUACCGCAUACGAUCUACGGAUGAAAGCAGGGGACCGCAAGGCCUUGCGCGGACGGAGCGGCCGAUGGCAGAUUAGGUAGUUGGUGGGAUAAAAGCUUACCAAGCCGACGAUCUGUAGCUGGUCUGGGAGGAUGAUCAGCCACACUGGGACUGAGACACGGCCCAGACUCCUACGGGAGGCAGCAGUGGGGAAUUUUGGACAAUGGGCGCAAGCCUGAUCCAGCCAUGCCGCGUGCAGGAUGAAGGCCUUCGGGUUGUAAACUGCUUUUGUACGGAACGAAAAGCCUUCUUUUAAUACAGGAGGGUCAUGACGGUACCGUAAGAAUAAGCACCGGCUAACUACGUG
rnacentral:rRNA from 1 species